UAGGGUCAUUGCAGAUGUAAUUAUGUUAAGACAAGCUCCUGCUGGAGUAGGGUGGGCCCUGAGUCCAGUAGGACUGGUGUCCUUUGAGGGGACGAAGAAACACCCACCAAGAAGUAUGGCCGCCACGAGGCAAGGGUUGCUCACAUCACCAGAAGCCAGACGAGGCGAGGAGGAAUUCUCUACAGGCUGAGGAGAGAGCCAGCUCCUGGUGACACCUUGAUUUCAGCCUUCUAGCUUCCAGAACCACAAGAUGCUUCAGCCACUGGGAAGAAACUCAUCGGAACCACUCUGGGUUUCCAAACCCAAAAGUCCAACCUGGGUGUCCGGUGCCCUUGCCCCUCACCCCAAUCAGCUGUGCUCGGAAAACGGGGCCAUAUCUUCCCAAACGUGUCAAGAAAGGUUGACAAGUUGUGGCAUGUGGUGAAGUCACAGGACACACGAUUGGCAUCAGGAGGUCCUUGGCUGCAACCGUGGCUGGUCACAGCCUUGUCUGUUCCUCAGAAGGCCAUGGAGCUGCCCACAGGCCAUCUCCCCGCUCACCUGAACUCCAGAGCGGCUCCCUGGUAAACAGAGCAAAAGCCCUUGUAUCUGCAAACCACGAGGUCGACAGAGUGGCUACUCUUCUGGUACCAGAGCGGUCUCCCACAAGUACUUGGCUGAGUAACCGAUUCACCUUUCUGCACCCCUUUUCAACUCCAGGCUCUUGGAGUUUCUGUCUCCCCAAGGUACCAGAUCCAGGAAAGCGAUUAGCUCUUAUCUAAACCAGCUGGGGCAGUGCCCAGGGCCUGUUUUCCACUUUCUCCCUGGGUUUGAUCUCACUCAGGAAGCCCAGGCAAGCAGGAUGGGACCCCCUGGGCUGCUACUGAUGUGGGGGCAACCUGGGGGAUGUGGUAGAAAAGCUCCAUCAUGAAGCCAGCAAAUUAGGACCUUUGUCAAGAGAAGACAAAGCAUCGCCUGGGAAAAAGAGAGCCCAUCUCGGAGCCCAGGACAAAGCUUGGCCAGGCCGCCGGAGACUUCCAAUACCAAGCAGGCGACCG